UUUCCGUAGGUGAACCUGCGGAAGGAUCAUUAAUGAGUUGUCAUGGGGUUCGAUGCUGGCAGCCAGUUCUUGGAUGCAUGUGCUUGCCCUAACAAUCAUCUUCUUCCAAACACCUGUGCACAUUUUUGAGGGAGUCUUGAGUUGGUUGCCGCUCUUGGGUGAUUUUCUCACAUUCCCUUAAAUCAUUAUACGCUAUUAACAAUGUUGAACGUGCUCUGUGCCGCAAGGCCAUUAAUACAAUACAACUUUUAACAACGGAUCUCUUGGCUCUC
rnacentral:misc_RNA from 1 species